GUCACUUUUGUCAAAUAAAGCAUGUAUUUACAAUACUCAAACAUUUAAAGUUACUGAAAAAUAUUUAACUCUUUUGGGUUUGGGGUUUAUGCUUCUCUUUAAUGUUUAUAUAAUUUAAGUUUUGACAAUAGAAAAGCUAGGCUGAAAGGGGAAACAAUCCAACUGCACACACAAAAGAGUGCCUAGAUAGAAGACGGACAGCAUAGGAGAUUGAGCAUCUGUGGAUCAGGGCUCCAGAGAAGAAAAGCAGGCUGUGAUGAGUGGGGCUUGGAGCUUGGCUUCCCCAUCAACGAGCCAGGAGAUUGGAUCCAGGAGUGAGGACACUGGAUGAGCACUUCCCACUUAGCAAGAAACCAAAUUAUCAGUUCCUCUUCCCAGCAUGUUUCAAAGGGCUAGAGAAAUUCUGAACAACACAAUUUCCAUGGGAAGAGACAAGAAGCAAUGGAAGGAAGGAAAAGCAGGAUUUUGACAGGUGCUAUGCCUUAAAGAAAAAAGAAUACAUCAGUACCCAAAUUUGGUGCAGUUUAUUGAUACAGUUGAGGCUUAUUCAAGGAUCUGAUGUAGUCCUGAGUCAGACCAAGCCAGAUCCUUCAUCGAAGCACCUCGGGUUUGUCCUGUCUGUACAGUGUACACAGCACUUCCAGAUACAUCCUCAUUGGACUCUCAUCAUUACCCCCAGAAGCAGAAUGUGGCAGCUAUCAAGAUUCCCUUUUAAAGAUGAAAUUUAGUGCCAUGGGUCUCCAAUCUUUUAUUCCACCUGGGAGAGGGCAAAGAGGCACUUCUAAAUUUUGUGGCAGGGGCAAAAACCAAGGGGAGAAGUUGGCAUUAAGCACGUACAACAUCUUUUCUCUCUAAUGACCUGGAAACAUUCAAAAAAGUAAGUAGAUAUAUUUCAAAGGAAAAAUUCUCCCUUUAGGGUAAUAUUGAUCAUUU
rnacentral:lncRNA from 10 species